ACGGAAGGCAGCAGUGGGGGAUAUUGCUCAAUGGGGGAAACCCUGAUGCAGCGACGCCGCGUGAGUGAAGAAGUAUUUCGGUAUGUAAAGCUCUAUCAGCAGGAAAGAUAAUGACGGUACCUGACUAAGAAGCACCGGCUAAAUACGUGCCAGCAGCCGCGGUAAUACGUAUGGUGCAAGCGUUAUCCGGAUUUACUGGGUGUAAAGGGAGCGUAGACGGCAUGGCAAGCCAGAUGUGAAAGGCAGGGGCUCAACUCCUGGACUGCAUUUGGAACUGUCAAGCUAGAGUAUCGGAGAGGUAAGUGGAAUUCCUAGUGUAGCGGUGAAAUGCGUAGGUAUUAGGAGGAACACCAGUGGCGAAGGCGGCUUGCUGGACGAUAACUGACGUUGAGGCUCGAAAGCGUGGGGAGCAAACAGGAUUAGAUACCCUGGUA
rnacentral:rRNA from 1 species